UUAAAGGCCAGAAGUCCACAUGACCGUCAUCAUCAAGUCCUUCCAUGAGAACCCUGAAUACCAGGAGGACAGAUUGAGGUCAUUGAUAUCAGCACAUCUGAGAAUCCAAAACUCGGCUCCACAUGAGGCCUAAACCAGUAUUCAAGAACUCCUGUCAGCUGGAGGAGAGAAGAGAUAAGGAAAAAAUCUGUACUGCAGAAUAUGACAACAUUCUCCAUGGUGAUAGAUCAUCAAUAAAAUGAGGACAAGUGUUG